GAUGAACGCUGGCGGCGUGCCUAAUACAUGCAAGUCGAGCGAACAGAUGAGGAGCUUGCUCCUCUGACGUUAGCGGCGGACGGGUGAGUAACACGUGGAUAACCUACCUAUAAGACUGGGAUAACUUCGGGAAACCGGAGCUAAUACCGGAUAAUAUAUUGAACCGCAUGGUUCAAUAGUGAAAGACGGUUUUGCUGUCACUUAUAGAUGGAUCCGCGCCGCAUUAGCUAGUUGGUAAGGUAACGGCUUACCAAGGCGACGAUGCGUAGCCGACCUGAGAGGGUGAUCGGCCACACUGGAACUGAGACACGGUCCAGACUCCUACGGGAGGCAGCAGUAGGGAAUCUUCCGCAAUGGGCGAAAGCCUGACGGAGCAACGCCGCGUGAGUGAUGAAGGUCUUCGGGUCGUAAAACUCUGUUAUUAGGGAAGAACAAAUGUGUAAGUAACUAUGCACGUCUUGACGGUACCUAAUCAGAAAGCCACGGCUAACUACGUG
rnacentral:rRNA from 1 species